GUGUCAGCCGCCGCGGUAAUACAGAGGGUGCGAGCGUUGUCCGGAAUCACUGGGCGUAAAGGGCGCGUAGGCGGCCUGGUAAGCGUGCGGUGAAAGCCCGGGGCUCAACCCCGGGUCGGCCGUGCGAACUGCUGGGCUCGAGCACUGUAGAGGCAGGUGGAAUUCCGGGUGUAGCGGUGGAAUGCGUAGAGAUCCGGAAGAACACCGGUGGCGAAGGCGGCCUGCUGGGCAGUGACUCGCAAGAGUCAAUAGCUGACGCUGAGGCGCGACAGCGUGGGGAGCAAACAGGAUUAGAUACCCUGGUAGUCCACGCCGUAAACGAUGGGCACUAGAUGCUUGGGGGAGCGACCCUCCGAGUGUCGGCGCUAACGCAUUAAGUGCCCCGCCUGGGGAGUACGGCCGCAAGGCUGAA
rnacentral:rRNA from 1 species